rnacentral:rRNA from 1 species
GGGGAUCCCAAGUGCUCAAGCACUGCUUGGGCUUUUGCCAUAUGUAAAUAGUAUGGCGAAUAAGUGGUGGGCAAGACUGGUGCCAGCCGCCGCGGUAACACCAGCGCCACGAGUGGCAAUCGCGUUUAUUGGGCCUAAAGCGUCCGUAGCAGGUUUUGUAAAUUUCUUGUGAAACUGCCAGGCUUAACUUGGCAAUGUGCAGGAAACACUGCAAGACUAGAGACCGGGAAGGGUCAGAGGUAUUCCUGAGGGAGCGGUAAAAUGCUAUAAUCUCAGGAGGACCACCGGUGGCGAAGGCGUCUGACUAGAACGGAUCUGACUGUGAGGGACGAAAGCUAGGGGAGCAAACCGGAUUAGAUACCCGAGUAGUCCUAGCUGUAAACGCUGUGAGCUAGGUGUCGCGCAUUCUACGGGAAUGUGCGGUGUCGUAAGGAAGCUACUAAGCUCACCGCCUGGGAAGUACGGUCGCAAGACUGAAACUUUAAGGAAUUGGCGGGGGCGCACCACAAGGGGUGCGGCGUGCGGUUUAAUCUAACUCAACACAGAGAACCUUACUAGGAGCGACGGCAAGAUGAAGGUCAUGCUGAAGACAUUGCUCGAUGAGCCGAGAGGUGGUGCAUGGCCGUCGCCAGCUCGUGCUAUGAAGUGUCCAGUUAAGUCUGGCAACGAGCGAGACCUGUAUCUGCAAUUGCUAACGGCAUUACGGUGGACCGAGCACAUUGCAGGGACUGCCUUGGAAACAAGGAGGAAGGUGCAGGCUACGGUAGGUCUGUAUGCCCCGAAUCUCCUAGGCUACACGCGCGCAACAAUGGUAGAGACAAUGGGAUGCAACUCUGAAAAGAGAAGCUAAACCUCUAAACCCUAUCCAAGUUCAGAUUGAGGGUUGCAACUCACCCUCAUGACGUCGGAAUCCCUAGUAAUCAGGUUUCAUCAAAGCCUGGUGAAUAUGUCCCUG